GCAGUACAGAGGGCAGCGAAGUCGCGAGGCCAAGCAAAUCCCUUAAAACUGUUCGUAGUCCGGAUUGGAGUCUGCAACUCGACUCCAUGAAGUCGGAAUCGCUAGUAAUCGCGAAUCAGAAUGUCGCGGUGAAUACGUUCCCGGGCCUUGUACACACCGCCCGUCACACCAUGGGAGUGGAUUGCACCAGAAGUAGUUAGUCUAACCUUCGGGAGGACGAUUACCACGGUGUGGUUCAUGACUGGGGUGAAGUCGUAACAAGGUAGCCGUAGGGGAACCUGCGGCUGGAUCACCUCCUUAACGACGAAGAC
rnacentral:rRNA from 1 species